rnacentral:rRNA from 1 species
GGAGGGUGCAAGCGUUAUCCGGAUUCACUGGGUUUAAAGGGUGCGUAGGUGGGCAGGUAAGUCAGUGGUGAAAUCUCCGGGCUUAACCCGGAAACUGCCGUUGAUACUAUCUGUCUUGAAUAUCGCGUAGGUAAGCGGAAUAUGUCAUGUAGCGGUGAAAUGCUUAGAUAUGACAUAGAACACCAAUUGCGAAGGCAGCUUACUUCACGAUCAUUGACACUGAGGCACGAAAGCGUGGGGAGCAAACAGGAUUAGAUACCCUGGUAGUCCACGCCCUAAACGAUGAUUACUCGACAUACGCGAUACACAGUGUGUGUCUGAGCGAAAGCAUUAAGUAAUCCACCUGGGAAGUACGACCGCAAGGUUG